rnacentral:rRNA from 1 species
UCGCUGUGAAGAUGCAGUGUACCCGCGGCAAGACGGAAAGACCCCGUGAACCUUUACUAUAGCUUGACACUGAACAUUGAGCCUUGAUGUGUAGGAUAGGUGGGAGGCUUAGAAGUGUGGACGCCAGUCUGCAUGGAGCCGACCUUGAAAUACCACCCUUUAAUGUUUGAUGUUCUAACGUGGACCCGUAAUCCGGGUUGCGGACAGUGUCUGGUGGGUAGU